rnacentral:rRNA from 1 species
CCUACGGGUGGCAGCAGUGAGGAAUAUUGGUCAAUGGGCGGAAGCCUGAACCAGCCAAGUCGCGUGAGGGAUUAAGGCCCUGCGGGUCGUAAACCUCUUUUGCCGGGGAGCAGUGGUCCGGACGCGUCCGGACCGGGAGAGUACCCGGAGAAAAAGCAUCGGCUAACUCCGUGCCAGCAGCCGCGGUAAUACGGAGGAUGCGAGCGUUAUCCGGAUUUACUGGGUGUAAAGGGCGUGUAGGCGGGAGAGCAAGUCAGACGUGAAAUUCCAGGGCUCAACCCUGGAACUGCGUUUGAAACUGUUCUUCUUGAGUGAUGGAGAGGCAGGCGGAAUUCCGUGUGUAGCGGUGAAAUGCGUAGAUAUACGGAGGAACACCAGUGGCGAAGGCGGCCUGCUGGAUAUUAACUGACGCUGAGGCGCGAAAGCGUGGGGAGCAAACAGGAUUAGAUACCCCAGUAGUC